rnacentral:lncRNA from 1 species
AGACAAUAUAGCAAUGGCACAUUCUUCCCUUUCUUGAUAGCCUCUGCCUAAGGAACAGAAGAAGCAGGGCAUCUCAAAAGAAUCCAGAUUUCUGGGCAAGCAGAUGCAUCGCAUCGGAAAGCCUGCUACCCACUGUAAUAGAGAGACCCUUGUCUGACUUGGACUGUAUGGUUUAAUACAAUCAAUGAGACCCAAAAUGCCAUCUUAUUCUGUUUUUGUUUGUAUUUCCCCCUUCAGCUAUACCUAAACCAGUCUAGAGAAAUGAAACCCUCCAGCGGUUCUAGUCCCGGAAGGAAGCCGAACUGCCUUGAAGCAUCUGGCCUUGUGCCCACAUGUUGUCACAGCUCAUAGCUCAUCUUUCUCUGUGCCCUUGGCAGCUGAUCUGAAUAGAGAGUGCACAUGAACUUCAAAGGAAGCAGGCAGGAUGGAGUUGGGGCCUUGCUGCUUUAAUCAAGAUGGAUUCGAGACCUCUGGUUAUCAAGUAGGAAACUGAAACCAGCAAUAGAGAAAGAUGCUGACUAAAAGGAAACUAGUCAUUGAAAGGGCACCAGGAACUCAAUAUACGACUAAAUUUUAAAUAGUACUCCCCUGGUACACGCUGCUGGAUUUACUUUUACUUACUGUCUACAUAAACAAAAUUAGCAUGUGCAUUAGAGCCUCCGAUAUUGCCUAAGAAAUUCACCAUAAUGUGCAGUGGCACGAAACGUGGUUUCCAUCUUCAUGUCCUCCACUGAUACUCCUCCCUUGACCUUGAGCAUCUCUGUCCAAGUUUCUUUGGUCAGUGGUGGGAGUAGUGCUCCCUUUUGACUCAGUACCACUAUGAGACAUCCUUGAAUGCUGGGCUUGCCUCUUUUCUGGGGCUUUGCCUUGAACAUGAACCACUAGUGUGAAAUGUAUCAAACAAUGAUGGAGUCAGAGUCAUUGUUCCCAAGUUGGUCUUCUGAAGGGAAGCACACUCUGGCAGAGUCAGCUGUGCAGUUCUCCUGUGCAAAAAGCAGAUCAAGGGACAAGGCAAAUCACCCAGUACUUUCCCCCUGACCCUCUAAAGAGAAGAGAAGAGGCCACACAGGAACCCUGAGAGAGUGGACGGCCAGAACAGCUCUCUCCAGGAACAUGGGCAGUAUUUUUUAAAAUUCUUCCCAAAAGAUAUAUAAGUGUUCAAUAAACACAAGAAACGUG